ACUCUAACUGUGAAAGGCCUGUGCACGUGCGGUGUAAGAAGACGCAGCUAAAGAUAUGUGUGUGGGGGAGACGGAGACGGGGGGGUGAAGAUGGAGCAGAUUUGCAGGGUGGAGGAAGGUGGAAAUUACACUGUUAAACCACUUCUGGAGACGGAGGCUCAGGACAGAUGGAUGGAUGGAUGGAGGGAGCAGAGGAGAAGGAGAAAAGAAGGGUCUGUGGUUGAGGCGUGUGCCAAUAAUGGUGGUUGCAGAUCUAUAUUUGAAGCGGAUCAUAAAAGGCAGUCAAUCUCUUCCACUGAAGUGGUGGAGAGAAAAUAAAGGGGGAGUUAAAGAGGGAGGUGGGACGAGGAAGAGAUGUUAGAGCUGGUAAUAAAAAAUAAAAAAGAGAAAGAAAUUCAAAGAAAGAGGACUAUGGAAGGAAUGGGUAACGAGCAGGUAAUGACAUGAAUAACAAACAGGACAAGGAGAGAAAGACACAUAAAGACACAACUUUAAAAAAAUGGGGGGAAAUUAUUAAUUUGGUACAGAAACUGAUCAAAUCCCUGCCAAAAGGAAAGAAAAUAUCAAGAACAUGAAAUGUCCUAAAAGAAACCAUCACAGAAAUCACUGUAAAGUGAAGCUGGCACAACUACAGUACUUGCACAAAAACAUAAAUAAAAUACACAUUAGCAAGUAUUAAAUGGGGUUUUUUUCCUACGAAUUGAAGUUCCGUCUUAUACUGAAAAUAAAUGAAAAUGAAACUCAAUGGGUUUCUUUACAAUAAAGUGUUUUUCCAAGCCUCUGCCAUAAUGCUGUAAUACCACCAAGUACAAGCAGAGGGAGUAAUGGUUGGUGAACGGUGCAACCGUGAACCAGCACCAUCUAUUUCAAGGUAUUGAAAAUGCAUUAAGGUCAGGUGACUCUAAACCAUCAUUGGCUACAAAUUCCAGUCAAUGGUGUUUUUGUCUCCGUCCAUGAGACUUGACCGAGACUUGACCUUCUUUGAACAGGGUUGGUCGUUAUUGGCGGGGGCAACCACUUCUAAGAAUCAGAUCAGCUUUGUAGGAAUUUCAGGCUGAGAGGAAUUUUGAAGCAUUGGCUGUGAAUGUGUAGCCUUUUAUCUACAAAAAGGUGGCGCUACAGAAAACGUUUAGAACCACUGGGUUACAGUAACAUCAGGUGAGUGGUUCGUUUUCCUAAAUGUAACAUGGAACUCACUCCAUCACAGAUGCUGUACUUUGGUUUGUUCUGGGAACUGACUUUUCAGGUUCAAAUCAAUGAUCCGGCUCCCACUGGUGGAGAAUGUGUUUCAGGAACCAGAACUGUGCUGCUAUGAAAGAGCUCACAGAGGAGUCUUUGGCGAUCAUAAGUUUAAAAGUAAACACACACGCGUAUCACUGCCAGUAGAGCAGAGUGACCUCUAAAGGUGGAAAAUAAGAGGUUUGCCAAGCGACCAUCUACAAUUGUUGGUUUGUUACGUGACGCACAAAAAACAUUGAGAAAGUCCAGCGGGAGCGCUGCUGCAGGCUGGAAACCACAGGGUUAUUUUGAGUGCAGUGAAACAGUCAAGUGACCAUGAAGUUCAUAAUCCACCCAGGAAAGUACAGCGUUAAUGAUGCUCUGCUCUGUCUCAGCGGCUGUCACUGUGCCUUUUGGAGGAGGAACGCAAAGAAGGAAAACCGAGGAGAAACUGUUUCUUCUGAGACCAGUUUCAUCGGCUCAGUGUCUGGGCCGACUGAAGCCCAAAGACGUGACAGGGACUGCGGUCAAACAGUGAAGGGUUUCCCAAUGACUUCCUGGAUGUGAGGGAAGGCCUUUUUUUCCCUCAUCAUGCCAAACCAAUCUGACUUUUUUACCAUCAACGCAUCUGAAACCAUCUCACAGUGCAUGUAUGCAUUCAUCGGCCCUAUCUACACACUACUGUAUUUAAAGCUAGCUUCUGGGCUAACUGAACAUCAAACACAUUAUAAAAACAAAAACACAAAGACAAUCAUUCACACCUCUGAUCAAUUCAGCCAAAUGUUUUGUAAACAUGGACGAGAAGGUCACCGACACACAUCCGGGCUGCGACCCACACUUUGACAAAUCUUCUACCAUCCAAUGACUCUAAGGAUAACUCAAUGCUCUACUCUGUAUUGUUAAUAUAAAUAUUAACUGAAACAUAACAUGGACCAUGGCAAAAAAAAUAAAUCUGUUUUGUGAAUACCGGCUGUGUAAAUAAAACAAAUCCACGGUGUCUGCCAUGUUUGUUUCUCCCAUCGUUUACAUGUGAUGUUCCAUGGUUUAGUGGAGACACAAACAUCAGAUUCGUCCCACUUCUGCCUGCAGUGUGAAUAUACUGAAGUCCAACAGAACAAACGCACCAAGGUUUGUUUUUACCAAAACGUAGCUCAGCAGACUGAACAAAUCUUCCGAGGGCUGGGUUUGGUUCCUUUUUUUGUUAAAAGAACUUUAAACUAUAUGCAGACGAUUCUAAAUCUGGAAGCAGGCAGCGCAGGGUGUGUAAACUAACAAUGUAGACUGAAGACGAAAAAGAAAAUGUUUUGGCAGGGAUCAGUAAAACGUCUGUCGGGUAAAUAAAUAAAGAUUAAUGGCAAACACAUCAAGAAUCAGCUGCCGGUCCGAUAAUCAGAUGAAUCAUCUGAGCUGGUGAUGAUGUUUACUGUAGGAAUCCAGUGAAUCUUUAAGUGAUCAAAUCAUUCCAGAGUGAGGAGGGGGUUCUAAUUUACUCUUUUAGCUUCAGUCGCACAAACCACCUCAAAUGCACCCCCCUCUCCCCCCCUUAUAUUAUAGUGAAUUAUCUUUUCCUGGGGGAGCAAGAGGCUGCGAUAAAGACGGAUCUUUCUGGAUCAACAUCAGACAUCAGGCUAAUAGUGAUGUGAUGUGGUGUGGGCGCCGAUCAUCGCACCGCUGAUUCAGCUGCUUAGAAGCCAAAGACCCCCGAUAUCCCCCGCCCCACCCUGACUCCGCACUCCACCAUACUCUGACAAACUUCCCUUUAAUCCUCCCCAACCUCAACUCAUGCCAGACGUACAAAAGCCACCAGCCCCAGCCCCAGCCCCUCACCCUCAUAAUUGAAGCAGAAACCUCAGGUUCGGUGCAGGAGCUGAUCCUGCAGCUUCAACCUUCAGUCCUGGCUUCAAUUUUCAACAUUUUUUUAUUCUCCAUCAACCAGCUCUGAAAAUGUGGAAAGGAUGGAAACGGAAUAACUGCACAUUAUGAUCCAACGUCACUAUGGUUUUCCACAAGGCAGAUUCCUUAGCUGACAUUCCAUGUUUGAACACAGACAGGGAUUCCAACACACUUCCACAGGACAUGUUGGGCGCUGUUUCCCAUAGGUACGAGAACAUCUGCCUCGUGUUUUCACAUUAGACCCCCAAGUGUCUUAUCUUAACUGGGCAGAUCAGAGCUCACUUUCUCAUACUGUUUUUUUCCAUAAAAGUUUUUUUUCUACGUCAUUUGUAGGAUUUUACAGAUAAAUGUACAGGAAACAACUCAAGUUAAUUCAGAGCUGAUAACUGGACCUCGUGAUGCAUCAUGUGUGGAUCUGUAAACUCAUUUAACGUAUGGUAUUCAGCUCAGAGACACGUGAGGAGAACCACUCUAUUUCCCCAUAUAUCAACAAUGACAUACGCAUACAUGAAGAUGCAUUGCACUAUUUUCAGACAAAGCAACUCAGGCCCCUGAACAAAAAAAUAAUAAUAUACUAUAAUAAUAACAAUGAAUCAUUAUUAUUAUAAAUGGUCAGAAUAACCAACAACUGCAUUCAUAACACACAAAAACACAAAGCUGCACAAAGCUAAAAGAACAAAUACAUUCACUUCAGAUUAAAUCCACUAAAAACAGUUUUCAAAAUGGCGGCCACCAGGGGGCCUCGGAAAAUUAGCGGGGAGUGAGAAAAAAAGUAGCAUAAAAAUAUUUUUUGUUUCCGUUGGUACGUGAACGCACCUCGUGUGGCAGCUACAACGUUAUCAAUCUGCUCUGCUAGCCUAUAGCUAGCUAGCGUGUGUUUGAACAUCUAAAUUAUGAUUCAGCCUGUGACGUCGAACCGUGUGUGUGUACUUGGUGCUCAAAAUGUAAAUGUAGUACCUGGAUGCUGGACUGAACGGAGGCAGGAGUCGUGGAGGUGUCCAGGAGCUGAUGGAGCAGAGAGAGAGGAACCUGGGGUGUAAUCCAUGGUGGGGGGAAAAAGAUGAAGAAAAAAAAGGAGAAGACUGGAGAAUGACGUUACCUUUACCUGCAGCAGAGUGCAUGCGAGCACACACACUUUGUGGACCCUUGCAUGUGGAGGACAAAGGCAGGAGGUGGAAACUUGGAAAAUUGAGUCCAGGAAAAUGAAAUAAAUCAGCUCUGUGCUGUGAGAUGAGGAGUGUGGAGCUGUGACCAGUUUAAACUGGACUUUCAAAAAAAAAAUACACAAAGAGAGACUGACUUUAAUCAACGGUAAUUAGGUCACAAUGCAAUGGCUGCGGGCGGUAAAAACGGGACGGUUUUCUUUCUAUAGAGAACACGGCAUGAUGAGAAGGCGUUUCUUUUACCAUAUAAAGAGCUUUAGAAAAGUCUUAGCCCUGUUUGU